GCAAGGGAAGAAGAUUGACCACAAUGGCAUAAAAGUUGAACUCCUUGGACAGAUAGAGAUGUAUUUUGACAGAGGGAAUUUUUAUGACUUUACCUCUCUUGUACGAGAACUGGAUGUUCCGGGAGAUAUCUAUGAGAAGAAAACUUAUCCAUUUGAAUUUUCGACUGUUGAAAUGCCCU